rnacentral:rRNA from 1 species
ACGAACGCUGGCGGCGUGCUUAACACCUGCCAGUCGCACGGAAAGGCCCUGCUUUUGUGGGGUGCUCGAGUGGCGAACGGGUGAGUAACACGUGAGUAACCUGCCCUUGACUUUGGGAUAACUUCAGGAAACUGGGGCUAAUACCGGAUAGGAGCUCCUGCUGCAUGGUGGUGGUUGGAAAGUUUCGGCGGUUGGGGAUGGACUCGCGGCUUAUCAGCUUGUUGGUGGGGUAGUGGCUUACCAAGGCUUUGACGGGUAGCCGGCCUGAGAGGGUGACCGGCCACAUUGGGACUGAGAUACGGCCCAGACUCCUACGGGAGGCAGCAGUGGGGAAUAUUGCACAAUGGGCGGAAGCCUGAUGCAGCAACGCCGCGUGCGGGAUGACGGCCUUCGGGUUGUAAACCGCUUUCGCCUGUGACGAAGCGUGAGUGACGGUAAUGGGUAAAGAAGCACCGGCUAACUACGUG